rnacentral:rRNA from 1 species
GUGUAUUAGAUACCCGGGUAGUCCACGCCCUAAACGAUGAAUACUCGCUGUUAGCGAUAUACAGUUAGCGGCUAAGCGAAAGCGUUAAGUAUUCCACCUGGGGAGUACGCCCGCAAGGGUGAAACUCAAAGGAAUUGACGGGGGCCCGCACAAGCGGAGGAGCAUGUGGUUUAAUUCGAUGAUACGCGAGGAACCUUACCCGGGCUUGAAAGUUAGUGAAUUAUCCAGAGAUGGAUAAGUGAGCAAUCACACGAAACUAGGUGCUGCACGGCUGUCAACAGCU